AAGGAUUAAGAAAUCUAAGCCUUGAACACAUUUGAUCCUAUCUGAGCUUAGCAGCUAAGCAGGGUCAGGUCUGAUUGGUUCUUGGAUGGGAGAACGCCAAACAGGAUACCAUUUAACCGUUC
rnacentral:rRNA from 14 species